UACGAAGGGGGCUAGCGUUGUUCGGAAUUACUGGGCGUAAAGCGCACGUAGGCGGAUAUUUAAGUCAGGGGUGAAAUCCCAGAGCUCAACUCUGGAACUGCCUUUGAUACUGGGUAUCUCGAGUAUGGAAGAGGUGAGUGGAAUUCCGAGUGUAGAGGUGAAAUUCGUAGAUAUUCGGAGGACACCAGUGGCGAAGGCGGCUCACUGGACCGGUACUGACGCUGAGGCGCGAAAGCGUGGGGAGCAAACAGG
rnacentral:rRNA from 1 species